rnacentral:rRNA from 1 species
UACGAAGGGGGCUAGCGUUGUUCGGAAUCACUGGGCGUAAAGCGCACGUAGGCGGACUUUUAAGUCAGGGGUGAAAUCCCAGGGCUCAACCCUGGAACUGCCCUUGAUACUGAAAGUCUCGAGUCCGGGAGAGGUGAGUGGAACUCCGAGUGUAGAGGCGAAAUUCGUAGAUAUUCGGAAGAACACCAGUGGCGAAGGCGGUUCACUGGCCCGGUACUGACGCUGAGGUGCGAAAGCGUGGGGAGCAAACAGG